rnacentral:rRNA from 1 species
CAGUAGCCACGGGAAUACGGAGGGUGCAAGCGUUAUCCGGAUUUAUUGGGUUUAAAGGGUCCGUAGGCGGAUCUGUAAGUCAGUGGUGAAAUCUCACAGCUUAACUGUGAAACUGCCAUUGAUACUGCAGGUCUUGAGUAAAUUUGAAGUGGCUGGAAUAAGUAGUGUAGCGGUGAAAUGCAUAGAUAUUACUUAGAACACCAAUUGCGAAGGCAGGUCACUAAGAUUUAACUGACGCUGAUGGACGAAAGCGUGGGGAGCGAACAGGAUUAGAUACCCCUGUAGUCCCUGUCUCUUAUAA